AAGGACUACUGGGGUUUCUAAUCCUGUUUGCUCCCCACGCUUUCGUGCAUGAGCGUCAGUACAGGCCCAGGGGGCUGCCUUCGCCAUCGGUGUUCCUCCACAUCUCUACGCAUUUCACUGCUACACGUGGAAUUCCACCCCCCUCUGCCGUACUCUAGCCGUGCAGUCACAAGCGCAGUUCCCAGGUUAAGCCCGGGGAUUUCACACCUGUCUUACACAACCGCCUGCGCACGCUUUACGCCCAGUAAUUCCGAUUAACGCUCGCACCCUACGUAUUACCGCGGCGGCUGGCAC
rnacentral:misc_RNA from 1 species